UCAGCCGCACGGCGCCCCCUAAAAAAAAGGUCAGCCGCACGGCGAUACCGGGACCAGAACGAGUCCCGUCGACUCCGGCGGCCGGAGGUCAACGUACGCGGACCCCCACUCCCGUCUCGGCUCUGGCCACGGCUAAUCAGGCGAGGCUCUCCGCCGCCCACGCCGCCAGAAGUUUACUGGGUGGCUGAUGGUCCAGGUUCAUGCCAAGGAAAUCCCAACUUCUUGUGGUCAUCAAGUCAUGAUGCUGAUUUGGAGUAACGCUGAUAACUUCAGGUAGCUCUGAACAUGUCAAAAAGAUACAUGAGGAACUAAAAUUCUAAAUCAGAAGCCGCCAGUUAGUUAUGUAUAUGUGGUGUAUACAUCACAGAGUAACAAAAAGAAAGGAUCCUCAUAACCCGAGAAAGAAAUUGUCUGCUUCUCAGUUAACUACUGAUAGUCCCAAGAUCAAAAUUUUCUCGCCCCUUAUUUUACCCUUUCACGAAUUCUGAAGUUUGAUUGGACAAUUCUCAGCAGUGACUUAAAAGUAGUUAUUUUUCAGUCACCUAAGAAAUAGGAAAAAUUGAAAUAAUAAUCAGGCAGGAUCGUAAGGCUACUGCAGAUGUGCAGCUUCAUACUAAAUGAGUGUACAACUACAAAUAAGUUGUAUUGCAGAAAAGAGACCAUACAUUGAUCCGGAGUAGGUUUCCACAAAACGGGAAUAAGAACCAUAUGACUGCCCACCCUCGAACUCAUAUCGAUGAUUAGAAAGAUAAACAGCUUAACUAAUGAGCAAAUAAUAAUCACCAAAUACGUUUCUUUCUUCAGAAGAAAGGAUCAUGCAUCAGGAUUGAAUUCUCCAAUUCGGUUAUCUUAACAGGAUAGUGUUAGACCAUCAGAGAAUUAGCGAAGCAAUUUUUGUAGUAAACUUGGCCCACCUGCAAGAUCUUGUGCUUGGUCAUCUGUUAACAUCGCUGCGAAGCCGGAGAAGCCAUGCUUGUAGCUGUAAGUGAUGGAGGCCAACGCAUCUUCCUUGCUGAAACAAAUCAACAAGUGAUGAGGAAAAAUAAAAUGGCAGCCUUUCUCGGAAUUGUCGAACGAAAUACUCUGUCCUCUAAAUGUAUAUUGCCAUUCAGAAGAUCAGAACCAAACUCGGAAAGAUAGGAAGCUUGUUCUGAGGUUUACCUUCCAAGAAUGGUGGUGAGCAUGUCAUGGUGCGAAGAUGUUACCAGAGAAGGGUCAUCAUGUUUCUUCUCUCCCAGGGUGAUGAAUUGGCCAUACCUUUUGAGAUCCAUACCCUCUGCUUAUGUUUAUCAUAAGGCAUAAGCAUAGUAGGAGGUAAGCCGGAAAACGCCGAGGGGAAGAGUGGAAAUCCAUGUUGGUAUGGAAGCACUUGCUGAUAUGAUCCAACAACAGAAAGGAAGGUCAAAGAUACAGGCUCAGUUCGCAUGAAUCCAAUCUUUUGGCUAUCGACGCCAAUUUCCUCCAUGAAGUUCCCUGGAACUAGCUCAGCUGAAACGCGUUGCGUUUCUCCCCGCUCCAGCAUUCUCCCAUUUCAAACCUUGCAGGCAACGAAGUCCCAGAAGAUGCUGCCGGUUGCUGUAGGGAAGAACAGCGCAGGGCUCCGUUCAGACAGGGAAUCCAAUCAAGGGCCCUCCGGAUGGUCUCGUGCGCGUAUUGAAGGUGCGGUGGUUCUCAAUCGGCGGCGGGUUUUGUAUGCCUUUCCUUUUCCUCGGCGCUGCAUACGAUUGUACGGGUCCAUCACCCGUGGCUGUGAGCGAUCCGUAGAACAUUGACUUCCUGAUGAGGGAGCAUCUCUUCCAUCUCUUCAGGGGAGAAGAUUGACUUGACUAGUGCGUCGACCAUCCAUGCCAUACGUAGUGCCAGCUCUUCCACUGUUAUCUUGGAGACGUCACUGCAGCCUGCUGAUCUUUUGUUUCUCUUCCAUUCCUAAAUACACCAUCUGUUUUUAAAUACAAGACGUUUUGGCAAUUCAAGCCUCUUUUAAAGAAUUACCAAGUGUAUUCUGACAGUGUAAAUAUGAGCUCUGACUUUGAUUUGUUUAA